GAUGAACGCUGGCGGCGUGCUUAACACAUGCAAGUCGAACGAUGAAGCCCAGCUUGCUGGGUGGAUUAGUGUCGAACGGGUGAGUAACACGUGAGUAACCCGCCCUUGACUCUGGGAUAAGCCUGGGAAACUGGGUCUAAUACUGGAUAUGACUUCUCCUCGCAUGUUGGGGGGGGGAAAGAUUUAUUGGUCUUGGAUGGACUCGCGGCCUAUCAGCUUGUUGGUGAGGUAAUGGCUCACCAAGGCGACGACGGGUAGCCGGCCUGAGAGGGUGACCGGCCACACUGGGACUGAGACACGGCCCAGACUCCUACGGGAGGCAGCAGUGGGGAAUAUUGCACAAUGGGCGCAAGCCUGAUGCAGCGACGCCGCGUGAGGGAUGACGGCCUUCGGGUUGUAAACCUCUUUCAGUAGGGAAGAAGCGAGAGUGACGGUACCUGCAGAAGAAGCGCCGGCUAACUACGUG
rnacentral:rRNA from 1 species